CCUACGGGUGGCAGCAGUGGGAAAUAUUGGACAAUGGGCGAAAGCCUGAUCCAGCCAUGCCGCGUGUGUGAAGAAGGCCUUCGGGUUGUAAAGCACUUUCAGUGGGGAAGAAAGCCUUGGGGCUAAUACCCUCGAGGAAGGACAUCACCCACAGAAGAAGCACCGGCUAACUCCGUGCCAGCAGCCGCGGUAAUACGGAGGGUGCGAGCGUUAAUCGGAAUUACUGGGCGUAAAGCGCGCGUAGGCGGUCUGAUAAGCCGGUUGUGAAAGCCCCGGGCUCAACCUGGGAACGGCAUCCGGAACUGUCAGGCUAGAGUGCAGGAGAGGAAGGUAGAAUUCCCGGUGUAGCGGUGAAAUGCGUAGAGAUCGGGAGGAAUACCAGUGGCGAAGGCGGCCUUCUGGACUGACACUGACGCUGAGGUGCGAAAGCGUGGGUAGCAAACAGGAUUAGAUACCCUUGUAGUC
rnacentral:rRNA from 1 species